GAUUUCUCUCGCCUUCCAAUAAAAACUUCCCUGUCCUGUGCCCCAGUCCCUCAGAGUCCACAAGAGGUUCAACUUGCUCAUCUGAUGUGUGAAUUACAUCACACAGUUGAAUGAGAAUUUGUUAAUUACAACAGAACUUUUAUAAAUAUGUCACUUACUGUAUCCAAUUGUACAAUUGUCCAUGGGUGGCUUAAUCCCACCAUGGCAAAUAAGCGUCUGUUUAUGCAACCCUAAUCAGUGCUGAGAAAGAUCAGAGCUCAACUAGAAUGCUGUGAUC
rnacentral:lncRNA from 10 species